UAGGAGGCGGGAGAGGCAAGCGGUACUCAGUGGGUAGGGGUAAAAUCCUUUGAUCCAUUGAAGACCACCAGUGGCGAAGGCGGCUUGCCAGAACGCGCUCGACGGUGAGGGAUGAAAGCUGGGGGAGCAAACCGGAUUAGAUACCCGGGUAGUCCCAGCUGUAAACGAUG
rnacentral:rRNA from 1 species